GUCAUCUGUACUCACGGCUUCAAGAAAAUUCACCAUGCUCCAAAGGGAGUGUUGACUAAUGUUGUGGACAUGCUAGAUAUGUUGGAUCUACCGCAAUCAACCUCUCCGAGAGCAUUUUCGCAGUAG